CGAUGAAGGUGUUGGCAGCCAUUUAUGAAGACUUGAAGUUUUUCUGGGUUUCAAAGUUGGGUUUCUUUUCUGGGUUUGAGAGCAAAUGGCAAGGAAUUCUGGAGAUAUGAAAGCGUAAAAAGGUUAAGUGAAUUUGGAUUGAGUAUUUAUAGGCAUUUGGGAAGAAGAUCAAUAGGUUGAUUUUAAAAGAAUGAGGGGUAAAUUCGACCAAAAUAUUUCGUAAUCAUGGCAUAUAUUUGAGAAUCCAGGUGAAGAGGUUGAAAACCUUGCAGUUUGAUGAUGCACGAUUGCGUGUGAUGGCGAGGUUUAUGGCGAAGGGACGUUUCAGUGUCCGUACGUCUCAAAAAGGUCAAAAAACUCACGAAUCGAGGUUGCACUAUUACGUGUGAUGGCGAGUUUAAUGGCAAAGAGAUGUUUCAGUGUCCGCACACCUCAAAUGUCAUUAUUGAGGGACAAACAUACCAAGAAGAUGCCACGUAGCAGGGAAUCUGACAGGAUUGAGAUCGUGCAAUCGUGCCUUAUAAAUGCACCUUAAUGGUUGGCAUAUUCGAGGCUUUUUAAUGUCAUUCAGGAAUACGCUAAGGGUAUCUUUCGCUUUUUCAAGGUCGAGGCUCGACCAUGAGUUAUAGGCUGAAGACUUGAGAAGCGAGGGAGCAAUGUGUGGGUCCAAAAUAUUAUUUUGGGCCAAUCCGGGGAUUAUUGUCGACCCAAUGGCAUUUAUCUAGAAUUUUCUUGUGGGUCGGCCGAAUCCUGUUGCGAAAAGGAUUGGUUUAGAUAAAGGGUGAAGUGGUCAAUUCCUAGUGGAACAAGGAGUUUUGAAGUCGAAGAUGCUUGGGAUUAGGAGAUGAAGCUAGUUUGUUAUGGAACUUGGUUCAAAGUCCUAUUGGAGCUAAGACUGGCCAAAACCUAAUCAGAUUGGGUUAAAGAGUUCUAAUCUUAGUAUGAUUCUAGCUUGACCAUGAAGGGGUUUGCUACUAUAAAUAGAGGAGGGAGUGCAUUGUUCAAGCCCCUCCAAUUCAACACAUAAAUUGUUCUGCGCGAAGCUUCUCAACAACCCUUGAGAUUUUAUCAUUGUCCCCUUUCUACCCGCUAACACAUAUUUAGUUUGGAUAAACAACAUUGUGAAGGCAACCAAUGACAUCUUUAGUUUGGAUAAACAACAUUGGAGCUGUAGAAUCAGCUGUUCAAGGAGCACCUUCAAUUUGGAUAAACAACACUGCUUCGAGAUCGACUGGUUGUUAAUCUAAGUCUCGGUCGACAAGAAUUUUUGAGUCCUUGUUGGUAGAGGUCAUCUGAUCAACCUUCUUGGCAAAGUGAGGUGUUACAGGUAACUAGGCUUGGCACAUUGAACGCUAGGUCGUUUUAUGAUUGGAUACUCACAAGUACAAUUUAGAGUUCGGCAUUCCGACAACCGAACCACAUUUACCAUCAAGACAUACAUCUCUUUCGAGUAUUUGUGUCCAUAUAGUCAGCUACCAGUUCGGCAUGCUUAUGCUUUCACGAAUAUAAUCACCGAGACCGAACCUGGUGCAGACGAUUUGUGAACUUUGCAAAACUAGCAGCCUUGUCUUUAGGCUUUAGAAUCCGAAGGCGGAGACAUGUUCCUUCCUCGGCCGCAAUCGCAAGAUCAAGAAGUCAGCAGCAUGCUCAACGCGACAUUAACAUAUUUUACUCCUCGGCAGAACUCGGCCGACUAGUUGGCACAUCCCGCACACAACCAAAGGACGUAGUUAGCUCAUUAGUUACUUGGCCUGCGAGUCACGUAGGUUUGGUAGUUUUUAGGGUCAACAAUAUCAUAAUAUAAUCAAUGAGUUUGAUGAUUGGUAAUCACAUAGAAAGCUAGAGUUGUUCAUAAUUCAUAGAAUGGUUUGGUCACUUGUCACUCAUAUUUGGAUCUUGCAUUUUCUUUCUUCUCCACAAACAAUAGGACAUCUACAAAGAUGUUUACAAUGCACCUACAAUGUCGCAAAAAAAACUAUACCAUUGGAAUGGGGCUAACCCAAAUAUAUAUCGUUCUCAUCAUCUACCAUAGUCGAACGUGAAAAAUCUUCCAAUCAAAUGCAGUUGAAUAAACACUCGACUAAAAGGAUAGUUGGUAUUUGCAUCUUGCAUGCUAAUCUGAAGAUUUGGGUAAUUCAAAAGUGUAAUGUUUAUGAAAAGAAAAUAUCAUGAUCUAAAGAAUGCCAACCUUUUCCUCUUGCCUUUCUCACCUAAAAAUUAAAAAUAUUAUUUGAUCUGAAUCAAAAUCAGGAAAAGGUAGCUAGCAUUUCUCGUAAAGUAAUGUAAUAUACAAAUUUGAAAGCCCAACGUCAUUUUGCGUCAAUAAAAAAAGCCCAAAAUCAUUAAUUUCUUCUGGCAAAGCCUAGUUGCAUAAAUCAUUAACGAAACUCAAUUCAAAUGAUUCCUUUACCAGGAGGA
rnacentral:lncRNA from 1 species